GGGAAAGCCACUAGAUAGUACGUGGCGUGCUCUCUUUAAUGUGCAAAAUUAAUUUCUCUUGUCUUGGAUGCGCGCGCGUUAAUUGGAAUCACUUCACUACGUUUGAAAUGACGUGGUUGAUGUGUCGUUUAAUUAAAUUUCAAAUGACUCGAGCGAACAGAUCACGACACUCUUGUAUAUAAAAAGAGCGUGUGAAUGAAACAAGUCACAUAUUAUUAGCACUGAUGAAGAUCCGGGCUUACGGAUCGAAAGCUUUGCAGUAAUAAAUUUACGUGGUGUUUCCACAAACAAAAACAAUUAUAUUUU
rnacentral:lncRNA from 1 species